AUUGAACGCUGGCGGCAGGCUUAACACAUGCAAGUCGAGCGGGGUGAUGGUGCUUGCACUAUCACUUAGCGGCGGACGGGUGAGUAAUGCUUAGGAAUCUGCCUAUUAGUGGGGGACAACAUCUCGAAAGGGAUGCUAAUACCGCAUACGUCCUACGGGAGAAAGCAGGGGAUCACUUGUGACCUUGCGCUAAUAGAUGAGCCUAAGUCGGAUUAGCUAGUUGGUGGGGUAAAGGCCUACCAAGGCGACGAUCUGUAGCGGGUCUGAGAGGAUGAUCCGCCACACUGGGACUGAGACACGGCCCAGACACCUACGGGAGGAAGCAGUGGGGAAUAUUGGACAAUGGAGGGAACCCUGAUCCAGCCAUGCCGCGUGUGUGAAGAAGGCCUUAUGGUUGUAAAGCACUUUAAGCGAGGAGGAGGCUCUUUUGGUUAAUACCCAAGAUGAGUGGACGUUACUCGCAGAAUAAGCACCGGCUAACUCUGUGCCAGCAGCCGCGGUAA
rnacentral:rRNA from 1 species